CCUACGGUAGACAGCAGUGGGGAAUAUUGGACAAUGGGGGGAACCCUGAUCCAGCGACGCCGCGUGAGUGAAGCAGUAUUUCGGUAUGUAAACCACUAUCAGCAGGGAAGAAAAAAAUGACGGUACCUGACUAAGAAGCCCCGGCUAACUACGUGCCAGCAGCCGCGGUAAUACGUAGGGGGCAAGCGUUAUCAGGGUUUACUGGGGGUAAAGGGAGCGUAGACGGCGAUGCAAGUCUGAAGUGAAAGGCGGGGGCCCAACCCCUGGACUGCUUUGGAAACUGUAUGGCUGGAGUGCAGGAGAGGUAAGUGGAAUUCCUAGUGUAGCGGUGAAAUGCGUAGAUAUUAGGAGGAACACUAGUGGCGAAGGCGGCUUACUGGACUGUAACUGACGGUGAGGCGCGAAAGCGUGGGGAGCAAACAGGAUUAGAUACCCGAGUAGUC
rnacentral:rRNA from 1 species